ensembl:lncRNA
AUUCUGGGUUGCGUCAAGAGAAGCGUGACCAGCAGGUCAAGGGAGGAGAUCUGCUCCUCUGCUCAGCUUUCAUGAGACACCACCUGGAGUAUUGUGUCCAGCUCUGGAGCCCCCAACACAACAAGGGCAUAGAGUUGUUGGAGCAGGUCCAGAGGACAAAAGAUAAUCAGACAGCUGGAGCACUUCCCAUACAGGGACAGGCUGAGAGAUCUGGGGCUUGUCAGCCUGGAGAAGAGAAGGCUUCAAGGAGACAUUAUAGUGGCCUUUCACUACCUGAAGGGGACCUACAGGAAAGCAGGGGAGGGACAUUUUAGAAGGAUGUAUAGAGACAGGAUGAGGGGAAAUGGCUUUAGAUUGGAAGAGGGUAGAUUCAGACUAGACAUUAGGAAAUUUUUUACUGUGAGAGUAGUGAGACACUGUAACAGUUUGCCUGGUGAGACAGUGGAUGCCCUCUCCUUGGAGGCAUUCAAGGCCAGGCUGGAUGAGGCUUUGAGCAACCUAUUCUAGUGGGAGGAGUCCCUACCUAUAGCAGAGGGCUUGAAACUAGAUCAUCUUAAAGGACCCUUCCAACACAAACCAUUCUAUGAUUAGAUAAUUCUAUGAUUCACUGAAACAUGCCUUAUCCAUUAAAAUCUUCUGUGAUAGCGCAGUAUAUAUGCCAGUUUUACAGUUAGGUGGCUUUAGUACAACUUUAAUUCCUCAAAUAUUUUAUAGCAUAUUCACUUGAUGCAUAUAUUGCGGACUCUUCCAAAUACCAUCUCUCAUUUUCUUCUAGAAUUUGCAAAUAAAUACUUUUUGGGGCUUUUGGUAGAAUAUACAUACACUUUACAAGUGCAUGUGUGAAAUUAUUUAUGUAAGAAGAGUAUUUAUUUAGGAAAUUUUGACUCUAAUUUUGACAAGAGUUAGGUACACAGUUAAUUAAUUUAACUAACUCUCCUGUAACGUUCUGUAUAUGUUAAAUAUUCUGUUUCUAUUAGGUGUCUGUUAUACAAGUCAGAACUGCUACUAUAGUUACAAAUUUACAAUAUUAGGAAAUGGAACAGAAAGUUAAAAAGAGAAAAUGCCACAACUCUCAUACUGCUAAGAGUACUCUAAUGACCAUAUCAUCUUGUAUUUUUUAACAUGCUGUGAAUUCAUACUUUUCAUAUUAUCCUGUAUUUAUAGACUACAGAAAAAGGAAAAUGUAAGAUUAAUAUACGUGCUAUUUCAAUCAUUUAGCAAAUAGAAUUUACCAUAUAAUUUCCUUUGCUAUCACUGUUACCAUCAUUAUCAGAAUGUACUGCUGUACCUUAGACAUUCUGAAAUUAUCAAGCCACUUUUACAUACCAGAUAAUGUUUCGUAUAAAACAUAAUAUUGUUAGUUAUGUCUGUUCUUCCUUUUAAACUAUGAAAACAUAAAACUAUAAU